GAUGAACGCUAGCGGCAGGCCUAACACAUGCAAGUCGAGGGGCAUCAUGGCGUAGCAAUACGCUGAUGGCGACCGGCGCACGGGUGCGUAACGCGUAUGGAACCUACCCACCGCAGGGGGAUAACCCGCCGAAAGGCGGACUAAUACCCCAUGGUUCCCCGACCCUGCCUGGGGUUGGGGGUAAAGCCUACGGGCGGCGGUGGAUGGCCCUGCGUGCCAUUAGCUGGCUGGUGGGGUAACGGCCCACCAGGGCGACGAUGGCUAGGGGGUCGUGAGAGGACGAUCCCCCACACUGGUACUGAGACACGGUCCAUACACCUACGGGUGGCAGCAGUAGGGAAUAUUAGUAAUGGGCGAAAGCCUGAACUAGCAACGCCGCGUGUGCGAAGAAGGCCUUCGGGUCGUAAAGCACUUUUUGUAGAGGAUGAGGAAGGACGGGUACUCUCAGAAUAAGUCUCGGCUAACUACGUG
rnacentral:rRNA from 1 species